GCCUAUGGCCAUAGUACCCUAAAUACACUUGAUCUUAGAAGUCAAGCAGGGUUGGGCCUAAUUUGUUCUUGGACUAAGAAGAAAGUGAUAAUGACC
rnacentral:rRNA from 1 species